GCCUCUCGUGGCCUAACGGAUAAGGCAUCGGUCUUCUAAACCGGGAUUGCGGGUUCGAGUCCCGCCGAGGGUG
rnacentral:tRNA from 1 species